GCUGGGAUAGCUCAGUUGGCAGAGCAUGAGACUCUCAAUCUUAGGGCUGCGGGUUUGAGCCCCACGUUGGGCC